AGGAAUAUUGGUCAAUGGGCGGGAGCCUGAACCAGCCAAGUCGCGUGAGGGAAGACGGUCCUAUGGAUUGUAAACCUCUUUAGGCGGGGAGCAAUGCCGGGCACGCGUGCCCGGAGGGAGAGUACCCGGAGAAAAAGCAUCGGCUCACUCCGUGCCAGCAGCCGCGGUAAUACGGAGGAUGCGAGCGUUAUCCGGAUUUAUUGGGUUUAAAGGGUGCGUAGGCGGGCUGUUAAGUCAGCGGUCAAAUGUCGGGGCUCAACCCCGGCCUGCCGUUGAAACUGGCGGCCUCGAGUGGGCGAGAAGUAUGCGGAAUGCGUGGUGUAGCGGUGAAAUGCAUAGAUAUCACGCAGAACUCCGAUUGCGAAGGCAGCAUACCGGCGCCCUACUGACGCUGAGGCACGAAAGCGUGGGUAUCGAACA
rnacentral:rRNA from 1 species